rnacentral:rRNA from 1 species
AACGAACGCUGGCGGCAUGCCUAACACAUGCAAGUCGAACGAGACCUUCGGGUCUAGUGGCGCACGGGUGCGUAACGCGUGGGAACCUGCCCUUAGGUUCGGAAUAACUCCCCGAAAGGGGUGCUAAUACCGGAUAAUGUCUUCGGACCAAAGAUUUAUCGCCUUUGGAUGGGCCCGCGUUGGAUUAGCUAGUUGGUAGGGUAAAAGCCUACCAAGGCGACGAUCCAUAGCUGGUCUGAGAGGAUGAUCAGCCACACUGGGACUGAGACACGGCCCAGACUCCUACGAGAGGCAGGAGUGGGGAAUAUUGGAAAAGGGGAGAAAGUCUGAUACAGCAAUGCCGCGUGAGAGAUGAAGGCCAGAGGGGUGUAAAGCUCUUUUACCCGAGAUGAAAAAGACAGCAGCGGGAGAAUAAGCUGGGGAUAACUGCG